rnacentral:rRNA from 1 species
UACGAGAGCCUCAAGCGUUAUCCGGAAUUAUUGGGCGUAAAGGGUGUGUAGGCGGUAAUGUUAGUCUCAUGUCAAAGCCUGUCGCCAAACGACAGAUCCGCAUGGGAAACGGCAUAACUAGGAGGGUGCGAGAGGUGAAUGGAACUCACGGUGUAGGGGUGAAAUCCGUUGAUAUCGUGGGGAACGCCAAAAGCGAAGGCAAUUCACUGGCGCAUACCUGACGCUGAAAACACGAAAGCCAGGGUAUCGAAUGG